rnacentral:rRNA from 1 species
AGAAUUUUGGGCAAUGGGCGAAAGCCUGACCCAGCAAUGCCGCGUGCGGGAUGAAGGUCUUCGGAUUGUAAACCGCUGUCAAGAGGGACGAAAUUUGACGGUACCUCUGAAGGAAGCCACGGCUAACUACGUGCCAGCAGCCGCGGUAAUACGUAGGUGGCGAGCGUUGUUCGGAUUUAUUGGGCGUAAAGGGUCCGCAGGUGGUUGGUUAAGUUUGAUGUGAAAUCCCGGAGCUCAACUCCGGAACUGCAUUGAACACUGACCGACUAGAGUAUCGGAGAGGAGAUUGGAAUUCCAGGUGUAGCGGUGGAAUGCGUAGAUAUCUGGAAGAACACCGAAAGCGCAGGCAGAUCUCUGGACGAUUACUGACACUCAGGGACGAAAGCAUGGGUAGCAAACA